GGAAAUGCAUCACAAAGUAAAAAGAAAGAGAGAAAUAGGAAACUCCCUCGUCAUCACCUUCCACUCUAGCCUUUUCUUUCCUUCAGGUGUAGGUUUUGAGACUUGGAGAAGGAAUAGGGCAAUCGUGAUCUUAUGGUGGAUGUGGAUGGGUUUCGGUGUUUGAUGCAAUAGCACUAGAUGAAUCAACGGUUGGAUCAACUUCUUGAUACGAAGGAGAAUAGUACAUUGGAGAUUAUACCCACAGUGCCAUAAGAACUCCAAAUUGCACCAAUAUUUGUCACAUGACUAGCUCAAUUGAGUUUGAAUGCAGUAACGAAAAGAACAUUCAAAAGUGGUUUCAAGUUUCAACAGGCUUUAUAGAGGGUGACUUUAAAUUGCUAAAUCCUACCAUGUACUAGGCUUUUAUUUCUCGACUUGUCCUUUCUUUAUCCUAACGUAAUUAUUCUCAAUCAUGGCCAUCUUCUACUCA